rnacentral:misc_RNA from 1 species
AACGCACAUUGCGCUCCCUGGUAUUCCGGGGAGCAUGCCCGUUUCAGAAUCAUUUUAAUAUCUCACCAAGUUAUGGGUGGAAGCUCAUAACAAGGUGGAAUUUGGAUGUUUUGUCUCUGUACAAUCAUCUUAAAGUGAUCGUAUGUGCUUGAGUGUGCUCUGGCAGUUGGGUACCAACGUGCAACAGAUUUUAUCUUUUCGCUUUGGUAUUUAAUUGAAAUCAGGUACCUGAAGUGUAUAUUUGCUGGCUUACAGAUGUUAUGCAUAAUACAUGUAUGGCUUCUGAUAACUUGGUCUGAAAUCGGGCAAGAAAACCCGCUGAACUUAA